rnacentral:tRNA from 1 species
UAGGGUAGUAUAUACAAUACAUUUUGCUUACACCAACUAACAGGCAUAAGAGGGCCCCCUAA